CCUUCGAUAGCUCAGUUGGUAGAGCGGAGGACUGUAGAAUCUUAGGUCGCUGGUUCGACUCCGGCUUGAAGGA
rnacentral:tRNA from 1 species